CAGUAGCCGCGGUAAUACGUAGGGGGCAAGCGUUGUCCGGAAUUAUUGGGCGUAAAGCGCGCGCAGGCGGUCAUGUAAGUCUGGUGUUUAAUCCCGGGGCUCAACCCCGGAUCGCACUGGAAACUGGGUGACUUGAGUGCAGAAGAGGAGAGUGGAAUUCCACGUGUAGCGGUGAAAUGCGUAGAGAUGUGGAGGAACACCAGUGGCGAAGGCGACUCUCUGGGCUGUAACUGACGCUGAGGCGCGAAAGCGUGGGGAGCAAACAGGAUUAGAUACCCCAGUAGUCCCUGUCUCUUAUACC
rnacentral:rRNA from 1 species